rnacentral:tRNA from 2 species
GGAAGGGUGGCCGAGCGGCUGAAGGCAUACGCUUGGAAAGCGUACAUACCGAAAGGUAUCGAGGGUUCGAAUCCCUCCUCUUCCG